AACAUUGAACAGAAACAAAAGGCUACACAAAAGCCUGCAACAACUCAAUUAUUGUCAUACAAAUACAAAACCUUGCACCAGCAAAAGCCGUCCUUCCUGUCAUGCUUUCUUUUUUUCUUUUUCAGCCACAAAUAAUCAAUUACUUGGAGAAGGUGUAGAAGCAGAGCAUAGAAUCAUUCAUUAUUUGGAGAAACACACCCGAAGACAGAAUCAUUAUUUAGAGAAACAUACCAUCAAUUUUCAUUGGUUUGCAGAGAGGGAACAUCUUCAAUUUCUUCACACUUCAUCGGUUCACAGAGAGAGAGGUUUGCAAAGAGGGAACAUCGAUUUUGCAGAGAGGGAAGAGAAAAAAGAGCCUAAGGGAAAGCGAAGACAAAGAACGAAAGGAGGUUUGCAGAGAGGGAACAUCUUCAAUUUCUUCAUCG
rnacentral:lncRNA from 1 species